AUAUGCUUCUUUCUCUCAUAUGCGUUACCAUACCACCUAGCUUCGGACCAUUGCAUCCUCCAGUGGGAAGGAACCUCCAAGGUAUGGGCAAUUUGUUCAGCAAGGUAUGGGUCCAUAUUUCCCUUGAGAUCCUUUAAAAUUUUGCUA